rnacentral:rRNA from 1 species
GCCCGGGAAUUACGAGCCCAAGCUUAAAACCCAAAGGACUUGACGGUGCCCCAUCCUACUAGAGGAGCCUGUUCUAUAACCGAUUCUCCACGAUACACCUCACCGCUUCUUGUACACAGCCUGUAUACCUCCGUCGCAAGCUUACCCUGUGAACGCACUUAGUGAGCCUAAGGACCCCAUGUCAACACGUCAGGUCAAGGUGCAGCCUACGAAGCGGGAAGAAAUGGGCUACAAUCUCUACCCUAGAACAAACGAAAAACCACCUGCAACGGGGGUUUGAAGGCGGAUUUAGCAGUAAAAAGAAAGCAGAGAGUUCUUUUUAACCAGGCGCUGGGACGCGUACACACCGCCCGUCACCCUCUUCAAACAUCCCCUAACUGUUACUCACACCACACUACCAUCACAGAAGAGGCAAGUCGUAACACGGUAAGCGUACUGGAAAGUGCGCUUGGAACAAAGUGUAACUUAAUAAAAGUCUCUUGCUUACACCAAGAAUAUGUCUGUAAAACUCCGACCACUCUGAGCCCAAAACCAAGCCCUAUCUUCUUAAUUAAAUAGCCACCCGCCUCCCCCAAAAUAAACCAUUCUACCACCCAGUAAAGGCGAUUAAAAAGUAUCCAGGAG